rnacentral:rRNA from 1 species
AUGCACGCUGGCGGCGUGCCUAAUACCUGCCAGUCGCGCGAACAGACGAGGAGCUUGCUCCUCUGACGUUAGCGGCGGCCGGGUGAGUAACACGUGGAUAACCUACCUAUAAGACUGGGAUAACUUCGGGAAACCGGAGCUAAUACCGGAUAAUAUAUUGAACCGCAUGGUUCAAUAGUGAAAGACGGUUUUGCUGUCACUUAUAGAUGGAUCCGCGCCGCAUUAGCUAGUUGGUAAGGUAACGGCUUACCAAGGCAACGAUGCGUAGCCGACCUGAGAGGGUGAUCGGCCACACUGGAACUGAGACACGGUCCAGACUCCUACGGGAGGCAGCAGUAGGGAAUCUUCCGCAAUGGGCGAAAGCCUGACGGAGCAACGCCGCGUGAGUGAUGAAGGUCUUCGGAUCGUAAAACUCUGUUAUUAGGGAAGAACAAAUGUGUAAGUAACUAUGCACGUCUUGACGGUACCUAAUCAGAAAGCCACGGCUAACUACGUG